rnacentral:rRNA from 1 species
GACGAACGCUGGCGGCGUGCUUAACACAUGCAAGUCGAACGGAAAGGCCCUGCUUUUGUGGGGUGCUCGAGUGGCGAACGGGUGAGUAACACGUGAGUAACCUGCCCUUGACUUUGGGAUAACUUCAGGAAACUGGGGCUAAUACCGGACAGGAGCUCCUGCUGCAUGGUGGGGGUUGGAAAGUUUCGGCGGUUGGGGAUGGACACGCGGCUUAUCGGCUUGUUGGUGGGGUAGUGGCUUACCAAGGCUUUGACGGGUAGCCGGCCGGCGAGGGUGACCGGCCCCAUUGGGCCUGGGGUACGGCCCAGACUCCUACGGGGGGCAGCGGGGGGGAAUAUUGCACAAUGGGCGGAAGCUUGAUGCAGCAACGCCGCGUGCGGGAUGACGGCCUUCGGGUUGUAAACCGCUUUCGCCUGUGACGAAGCGUGAGUGACGGUAAUGGGUAAAGAAGCACCGGCUAACUACGUG